CAAGGACCUCAAUUAUUUGAAAACCUCCCACUAAGCCUCAACUCAGUUUCUACCACCUUCCAAUAGUGCCAAACUGGGGAAUGAGCCACACACCUCUAGAGCACACUUAGAUAAACCAUAUCUGCUUCCAAAAUAUUAUUUCUUUAUUAUAAAUUGAAAAAAAAAUUUAUCUCACCUCUCUCAUCACAGCUGUUCUUCUUAUGGUACAAACUGCAAAACACUCUGUAAUAACUCCCCAGAAGAGGUCUCACUGGUGGCACAAGCCCAGAUGCCUCCUGCGAGGAUGGUGAGAAAUAGUUCUCAGCCCUAGACUCAGCCAUUCCAGAAGCACACAAAAGAAGGCGGGGAUGAUUCGGAGGACUGACAUAGGAGUGGACCUUCGGGUUGCUGGGUCAGGACUGCUUGACUUUGGCAAAGAUCCUCUUAGAAUCAACUACAGGUUCACAGCUGGAGAAUAUUUUUCCUUGGAAUGAAUUGUACCUCGACUCUCAUCCAUACCUGAUUUAGGUGAGAUUUGGACUUUAAAACUGAUGCUGCGAUGAGACUUUUUAGGACUGUUGACAUGGGCAUUUUUGCCAUUACUAACAGCAUUGCAAAUAUAAAACCUUAAAGAGUCUCACAAAGUCACUAAAUUGCUCAGGUUGGGUUCAUACUUGCUGUUCUGCUGCUUCAGUCUCCCAGAGCUGGAUUACUGGUGAGCAUCACAGACUGGUUUAUAUUUUAUAUAUUUUUAAGAAUUCCAGCUUUAACUCUUUCUCUCACUCUGUUAUUUAUUAUAUGUCACUCAUAUAAGAUAAUGUAUGUAUUUUUUUUCUACAGGAAAACCUUACUUUUUAAUCCAUUAUUUCUAGUUAUGUAGUCCUUCCUUAUUUGUUUUUAAAAAUAGAAAGUAUACCAACUAAGUCAUUUCACUAAUUGUUCACUUUUUUACACAGCUUAACAAACUUUUCUCCAUUUUCAGUUUUUAUUUUUUCAUUUGUUUACUUUCAUCAUGAGUAUACUCAAUAUAUGCUUUUGGAUUUAAAAAAACAUGUUCUCAUUUCAGCACAUCUCCUGAAAAUCUCCCUCAAGAUUUCCAGGCUAAUUUUCUAUAUUCCACUGUUUCCUAAAAUCUUUAUCUUAGCGUGCAUUAAACAACUAAAGAUGUAUCAUAAGCCUUAUAUUUUUGCUGACAUGGUCCCUGUAAUAACCUUAAAAUAUUUAUUCGUUAACCCAUUUUUAUUUAGGUCCCUGGAUGUACCAUUAUUAUUGCUUAGCAUAAAUAUGCAACUUGUGAAAGGAUGAGUCACAUUUGCCAAAAGCUGUCAUAUAUUCUGACUGCGAGUAUGCAAUUAUACAAAAGCACACACAUGCAGAGGGAAACUAACGUGAGAAUGUGCUCUUUCUGUGCACUGACAGAGAAACUCUCCAUCCUCCAAAGGAACAUGCCUGUUUUGAACAAUAACAAAUACAU